UAGGGAAUCUUCGGCAAUGGACGAAAGUCUGACCGAGCAACGCCGCGUGAGGGAAGAAGGGUUUCGGAUCGUAAAACUCUGUUGUUAGAGAAGAACAAGGACGUUAGUAACUGAACGUCCCCUGACGGUAUCUAACCAGAAAGCCACGGCUAACUACGUGCCAGCAGCCGCGGUAAUACGUAGGUGGCAAGCGUUGUCCGGAUUUAUUGGGCGGAAAGCGAGCGCAGGCGGUUUCUUAAGUCUGAUGUGAAAGCCCCCGGCUCAACCGGGGAGGGUCAUUGGAAACUGGGGGGCUUGAGUGCAGAAGAGGAGAGUGGAAUUCCAUGUGUAGCGGUGAAAUGCGUAGAUAUAUGGAGGAACACCAGUGGCGAAGGCGGCUCUCUGGUCUGUAACUGACGCUGAGGCUCGAAAGCGUGGGGAGCAAACAGG
rnacentral:rRNA from 1 species